rnacentral:rRNA from 1 species
AGAGUUUGAUCCUGGCUCAGGAUGAACGCUAGCUACAGGCCUAACACAUGCAAGUCGAGGGGCAGCAUGGGGUCCGCUUGCGGAUCCCGAUGGCGACCGGCGAAUGGGUGAGUCACGCGUGUCCAACCUGCCCCGCGCCCGGGGAUAGCCCUUGGAAAUGAGGAUUAAGACCCGAUAUGCGCACGCCCCGCAUGGCGCGUGCGUGAAUGGAGGCGCGGGAUGGGGACGCGUCGGAUUAGCUUGACGGCGGGGCGACGGCCCACCGUGGCGACGAUCCGCAGGGGUUCUGAGAGGAAGGUCCCCCACACUGGCACUGAGACACGGGCCAGACUCCUACGGGAGGCAGCAGUGAGGAAUAUUGGUCAAUGGCCGAGAGGCUGAACCAGCCAAGUAGCGUGCAGGAUGACGGCCCUACGGGUUGUAAACUGCUUUUGCGGGAGGAUAACCGGCGCCACGGGUGGCGCCCUGCAGGUAUCCCGUGAAUAAGGACCGGCUAAUUCCGUGCCAGCAGCCGCGGUAAUACGGAAGGUCCGGGCGUUAUCCGGAUUUAUUGGGUCUAAAGGGAGCGCAGGCGGGCUGUCAAGCGUGCCGUGAAAUUUCGGGGCUCAACCCCGUUAAGCGGCGCGAACUGGCGGCCUUGGUUGCGGGAGAGGGAGGCGGAACUCGUGGUGUAGCGGUGAAAUGCAUAGAUAUCACGAAGAACCCCGAUUGCGAAGGCAGCCUCCCGGCCCGUUAACGACGCUCAUGCUCGAAGGCGCGGGUAUCAAACAGGAUUAGAUACCCUGGUAGUCCGCGCGGUAAACGAUGGACACUCGGGAUUUGCCCCUUUUUGGGUGAGUCCCCCAGCGAAAGCGUUAAGUGUCCCACCUGGGGAGUACGCCGGCAACGGUGAAACUCAAAGGAAUUGACGGGGGCCCGCACAAGCGGAGGAGCAUGUGGUUUAAUUCGAUGAUACGCGAGGAACCUUACCUGGACUCAAAUGCAGUCUGAAUAGCACAGAAAUGAGCUAGGCCUUCGGGACAGACUGCAAGGUGCUGCAUGGUUGUCGUCAGCUCGUGCCGUGAGGUGUCAGGUUAAGUCCUAUAACGAGCGCAACCCCUACGUCCAGUUGCCAUCGGUUCGGCCGGGCACUCUGGACGGACUGCCCGCGCAAGCGGAGAGGAAGGCGGGGAUGACGUCAAAUCAGCACGGCCCUUACGUCCGGGGCGACACACGUGCUACAAUGGCCGGCACAGAGGGAAGCCACCCCGCGAGGGGGAGCGGAUCCCGAAAGUCGGUCACAGUCCGGAUCGGGGGCUGCAACCCGCCCCCGUGAAGCUGGAAUCGCUAGUAAUCGCGCAUCAGCCAUGGCGCGGUGAAUACGUUCCCGGGCCUUGCACUCACCGCCCGUCAAG